AGGGGGGGGGGGGGGGUCCUCCGAAAUAUUCCGUCUCGACUCGCGAUGCGACACGCCUACCUUCGAGCGCAUGGGAGCGGCCGCGAACACGCCGCUGGCGAUCGCUUCAGUAGUAAACAAACCACGGACGAACUCGAACCUCGCGCCUCGACGAAGCUCGGAUAUUCCCGCCGUGAGAUAGACCCCAUUUCCUCUUGUGUAUUUCGUUCCUAGUGCGUGCCGCAAUAGUAGGCGCACUCUAGCCGCGGUGUUUACCUUCCUGCCGCCGUGUCUGUGCGGGUAAACAGGCGCCAUCUGCUCCGCGUCGCCGCAGAAAACGCGUUCGUGUGUUUUGCCGCCGAAAAACGCCGAAGGACCGCCGGGAAAACGGGCAGUUAAAGUGAUUCUUCAGAUUAUCAGCCGUGAAAAUUUGUCUCCUCUGGAACGCGGUCAAAUCGCCAGAGAUGGGAGCUGUCAUCAUUACGACAAGAGGAAUCCUGUGGGUGGUUUUGACUGUUAUCUCCACCAUACUCGUAUUCACAGCUGUGAUUACACCAAGAUGGCUGGUUGGAGCUACAAGAAAUAGUGGUGGAUAUCGAGAUGCCUCUAUUUCUUACGGUCGCACUGGCUAUGGCACAAAUUAUGGAGGAAACAGUCCUUAUGGCAUUCCUUAUGGCGCUCAGCUAGGUGAUCGUUAUAACAAUGGCGAUCGCUAUAACAGUGGUGGUCGGUACGACAGUGGGUACAACAAUGGCUGGGCAGGGAUCGCGAUGCUGAUCGCUACAGCUCUCACUACAACAGCAUCUACAGCGAUUACUAUACAGAUGAUAAACCAUCUGUUGGCCUCUACAACCGUUGCACCUACAUUAACACCUAUACAACUGCGCAAGUUUAGCAUCUGA
rnacentral:lncRNA from 1 species